GGCGAGAUGGCCGAGCGGUCUAAGGCGCCACGUUAAGGACUUCCUUAAUUACAUCAUGGUUCAUGAUUCCGUGGUCCGAAAGGGCGUGGGUUCGAAUCCCACUCUCGUCA